CAGCCGCCACGGGAAUACGAAGGGGGCUAGCGUUGUUCGGAUUUACUGGGCGUAAAGAGCGCGUAGGCGGACCGAUAAGUCAGGGGUGAAAUCCCAAGGCUCAACCUUGGAACUGCCUUUGAUACUGUUUGUCUUGAGUUCGAGAGAGGUAAGUGGAACUGCGAGUGUAGAGGUGAAAUUCGUAGAUAUUCGCAAGAACACCAGUGGCGAAGGCGGCUUACUGGCUCGAAACUGACGCUGAGGCGCGAAAGCGUGGGGAGCAAACAGGAUUAGAUACCCCUGUAGUCCCUGUCUCUUAUAC
rnacentral:rRNA from 1 species